AGCGAACGCUGGCGGCGUACUUAACACAUGCAAGUCGAACGAGGAUCGUCGGUGUAGCAAUACAUCGGCGGUUCUAGUGGCGCACGGGUGAGUAACACGUGGGUAACCUGCCCUUGAGUUCGGGAUACCCUCUCGAAAGGGAGGCUAAUACCGGAUACGAUCCUCGGAUUGCGAAAUCUGGGGAGGAAAGGUGGCGCAAGCUGCCGCUCUUGGAGGGGCUCGCGGCCUAUCAGCUAGUUGGUGAGGUAACGGCUCACCAAGGCUAUGACGGGUAGCUGGUCUGAGAGGACGACCAGCCACACGGGAACUGAGACACGGUCCCGACUCCUACGGGAGGCAGCAGUGGGGAAUUUUCCGCAAUGGGCGAAAGCCUGACGGAGUGACGCCGCGUGGGGGACGAAGGCCUC
rnacentral:rRNA from 1 species